UUCAAGGACGCAGAGCGAGCAGUUUUUGUAAUUCCUCGAAUAUCUUCUUUUCCAGUCCAAACUCGUGGCAUUGAAUCAGAAUCAUGGCUAAACAACAUAGAAAACCUGUCUUUCAUGCGGAUCAGGACUCGUCCAGCUUCUUCCUUUGCUUUUGCUUCAACUACACCUCUUGCAUAAUUCUCCAAACUUGUAAGCGUUUUAUCCCUAGUUUGUUCAUCCAUCUCAAAGCCAGCAAGUGCACUAGAGAGGCCAGCAACAGCUGAUUCUGUUUCACGCUGCAGAAGCUUCCUUAUUGCUGGCCAAGUCUCACUAUUAGCUCCAUCUAAAAGAGC
rnacentral:misc_RNA from 1 species